UGGGAUGGUGGCUCUAACCGCUGUCAGACUGAUAGUGACCAUGGGUUGAUUUUCUAGCUCAGUGCAGGGAGGGAGAAGGUAUAGCAACAAGACUUCUCUAAGGCCUGAGAGAUCAGCCCUAGCAUGGGUAUUUCCCCUGUCAUUUUGUUUGUAUAUGUGCUCUGGGUCGGGCAAGAUAACCAGUCCUUUCUGGGCAGUUUUCUUCCUAUCCAAGUGCUGAGAUGAGGAGCUACCAGCAGUGCCCUUCAUAAAAAUGUGGCUGGCAUAGCAAUGCAUCACUAAGCAACAUGGACUGUUUGAGCCAGGUGUAGCUGCCAGCUGUCCGUCAGCACCUCACCAGCAGCGUGGGAGAGAGGAGGUAGCUGGAGCAGUGCACGAGGAAAAAACCCCAACAACCCCAUAACCAAGCCCAAGAGUGAGUUUCUACAUGUGUCUUAUUGCAUGGCUGCCUUAAUGCUAGUGCUGGCAGGAGAGAAGGGUCUGGACAGUAGCAUCCAGUGUCUUCAAAUUAGCAUUCCUUGAUGAAGUGAACUUAAUACUCGCAUGCAUGCGAUUGUGGUCCAAGUUGGAGGUUUAUCUGUGUCAUUCAUAUGAAACAGUAAGUUCAUCAGGAUUGGGAACUAGAAUUUCCACAGGAAGUGUACAGAUAUGAGGAAAUGUACCUUUAAUGUUGAAAUAAUUCAAGAUCAGAGUUCCAAUAUGGCCAUGCUCUUGAAAAGGAAGAACUGAAUACACAGCUCAUUUACCAAGGCAAAAGUGUUUAACUAUGACCUUAAGCACAUGCUGCUGCUUGUUAGUUCAACUGAAGCUACACAAACAUGAUAA